AUACGGAAGGUCCAGGCGUUAUCCGGAUUUAUUGGGUUUAAAGGGAGCGUAGGCCGUCUGUUAAGCGUGUUGUGAAAUGUAGAUGCUCAACAUCUGAAUUGCAGCGCGAACUGGCAGACUUGAGUGUGCGCAACGUAGGCGGAAUUCGUGGUGUAGCGGUGAAAUGCUUAGAUAUCACGAAGAACUCCGAUUGCGAAGGCAGCUUACGGGAGCACAACUGACGCUGAGGAGCGAAAGCGUGGGGAGC
rnacentral:rRNA from 1 species